GCAGGUAUAGCUCAGUAGCAGAGCACAUGCUUAGCAUGCAUGAGGUCCUGGGUUCAUUCUCCACUACCUCCA
rnacentral:tRNA from 1 species